GUCAAAUGAAGUGGUUUUUAUGAGUAAACGUCAUCCGACAUGUUUUCUAAGUGGUUUUGAAAGUAAUUUGGACAGCCAGACGGGAAUUAGAAGCCAUUUUCGAGAAGGCUGCAGCAAUUCAGGAAUUAUUAGUAAUGUCAACGUGGAUUGAUCACUGCAAGAUGAUUGUGUUGUGAUUACAGAUUUCCAAAGGAAGCGAAGAAGA